UGGGAUGUGGCUCAGUGGAGAGAGCUUGCCUAGUAUGCAGCAGGCUCUGGGUUCGAAUCCCAGCACUGCAG
rnacentral:tRNA from 1 species